GUGAGCGUGCAACAUAUAGUUACCCAUGAGAAAAACGUGGAUUUUUUUAUUGGAAUACGUGGUAACAGGACCACUUCAGCUUUAAACUUUCCAGAUAAUAUGGUUGCUUCAAGAAUAUUUCUGGUGAUCUUUUUGAUAGCCAAACUCGCACCAUUGCAUAAUCGAGGUGGAUUCAAAUUACGCAGGAGAAAAAUAGGUGAACCAUUCUUUAAUGCGAUGAUUGAGUGCGAUCAGGAAAUGGUAAUACGGUGUGUCGAUGCAGGAUAUGGAGGAUCUAACCACGACUCAUUUGUGUGAAAAAAUAGCUCAUUAAAAACAUAUCUGAAGCAAACAUACCAAAUAGAAGGGAUCAUAAUUCGGUUUACUUAGGUGAUUCUGGUUAUCCACUACGUGAGUAUCUAUGGACGACUUUCCGAAACACUUUAGCAGGAACAGCGGAUUCAAAUUUUAAUAAAAAACAUGCAAAGGCAAGGACCUUAGUUGAAAGGACAAUUGGAGUGGUGAAAUGCCGGUUUCGUUCUAUACUGGGUGAACGUAAACUACGAUAUCCUCCUAGUAAAGCAACUGUGAUUGUAAAUGUCUGUUGUGCUUUACACAAUAUUUGCAAACAAUAUAAUGUAAAUGAUCCUGGACAAGAAACUUUAACCAGUUGAAGGAAACUUCAGUGGAACAGUAGCAGAUCAUCGCCGAAAACAAAUUGCGAAUGCAUUGUCAUAGUGUAGUUGCAUCCCUAAAAUAUAUGUAAAAUAUACGUAUAUGUAACCAGUGUUUAAAAAACUGCAGUCGAAUUAGCAGAAGUCGCAAUAUUGUUGCUAUUCGCUACUUCAACUGCGAGCGAUAUCAAAAAGUAUGCAAUUGCUUUUGCUUCUGCUUCUGAAAAAAUCAGAAGUCGAAUGCUUUGACUGGCGCAAAAAUCAAACAGCUACGAAAAUCAGAAAUCAGGGCACGAUUCCGAUUACUUUGGCGGAGGGGUAAAAAAACCGAAUUUCCAUAUAAAUGGGGUAUGUCCAGAGGAGGAAUAUCCAAAAAUAAUUUUAAAAUAAUUUAUAUUUUUCAAAAUAUUCACGAUUAAAGAUUCAAAAAUUUGCACUAAAAACACAUGGUAUUUCUCUAAGUUUCAGUAUUUUUUUUACAUUUUUCACUUGGUAUAUUUAAAUAUAUACUUUAAAGAUUGCAAUAAGUUCACAUUUCACUUUUAUUUUGUGAUAUUUUACCCAAAUUUAUUAAUUUAAAAAUCACUUAUCUCACUCAUCGCUGCAAAGGUUAGAUUGUUUACAAUUAUGAGGAAAACAAGCGUUGCCACAUCUUAAAUACCAAAUUUGUAGGAUUCUUAACGAUAUUUCUUUGUUUGUUUCUUUCCGUGAUUCUUUUUUCUAUAUUAAUUAUACUAAAACAUACUUUCCAACAUUUUUCAAGUUAUAAUAUUGAGUUGUGAAAACUUUUUCCAUCUACAUAUGUAUAUGUAUAAUUUGCGAUUUAUGUUCAAUAAAGACAAAUAAGUAAAAAUCUUUGAUAAUAUUGUAAAAUUUAAUCAUAUCGGAUUGACUGAAGUACUUUCGCGUAGUAC